CUCUCAGGCCUCACAGGGCAUUUGAAUUUGACAUUAUACUUGUGAAUAGCCAUUAUGUUUCCUUAGAGGGAUGACAGUGGUUAAGGCACAGAAUUGGGAACCAGGAUAUCUGUCUUGAAAGCUCAGUUCUUCUACUUGUUAAUCAUACCAUUUUGGGUAAGUUAUGCAAUCUUUUGUUGCCUUAAUGUUUUUAUCCAUAAAGUGGGGAUAAUAACGUCUUUCUUGUAGGGUGUGUCCUUAAUGAGGUAUGUAUUACCUUUCACUAAUAUGUGUAAAACCUUUAGAGUGUCUGGCAUAUGCGCAGCACUGUGUAAAUAGGCUGUUAUUGGUUCUCUCGCUAGUGCUUCAUUUUCCUGCUUCCAUAUUGCUUCAGUCUCUGCGCGCAGAACGGGGGAAUAACGUAGGCGAACUCAUCAGCAGUAGGGGAGAGGCGCUUCGGGCAGAAAUAAAAGAGGUUCUUGACAUCGUUUGCCUUUUGCUUCUACUUCAUUAGUUUUAGACUUCUGGAAGCUGGGAAGCCCCAGAUGAAGGAACUGAAAGAGUUGGUGUCUAGUGAGGACUGGGUCUCCCCUUCCAAGAUGGCGCCUUGAAUGCUGCGUCCUCCAGAGGCGGGGAACGCCAUUCCUCACAUGGCAGAGGAGUGGAAGAGCAGGAGAGAAAACUCACGCCUGAAAGUCCUUUUAAGAAAAGCAUUACGCUUGCCCAUGACGGUGGAGCCCUCAUGACCUAAGCACCUCUUAAAAAUCCCAUUUCCCAACACUGUUACAUUGGUAAUUACAUGUUAACAUGAAGUUUGGAGGGAACAAGCAUUUAAACCGUAGCAGUGGGCCUCUGUUGCCUGGAACAGUCUGCUUUUAGCACUGCAAGUCCCAUGUUCUAGGAAGCUUUUCAGUCAUCCUAACUUCCUCCUACCCCUGGUUACCUCUACCAUUGGCCUGUCACCCAAUCUGGAAUGAAUCCAAAGGCUAGCAUUGUGUUUCCAUGGAUCCUAUGUUAACAUGCACCAAGACAGUACAUUCAUAUUAGUUUUUAUUACUCAUUUUUCAGUGGGAGUGUGUUUUCAGCUAUGUAGCUUCCACUUCAGACAACAGAGAGCUGAGCCACGACUGAAGAGUAAUUAUUAAUGGUGGGGAGGAAAAGAGAAAACAAGCAUUUGUUAAACACAUACCAUGUUCAGGGAGUCCGAUGGGCUUUUAAUAUUAAUAGGAGCAGUUCAGAAGUCAGGCACUGGGCACAUUGAGAGGGUAGGAGAUUGAGUUAGUGAGUGGGAAGAUAAGAGGCAAAUGUUCUAGAAGAAGUGAAGCCAUCACUUAGCUGAGUGGAGAAGGCAGCCUUCAGGUCAAACCCCAGCUGUGCAUUUGAAUUUGACUCUGCGUCUUUCUAACAGUGGAAUUGGGACCAAAAGUCUUAACCCCAGCAUUGGGCUUCCCCAUCGCUAAAACUGGAAUUUCAUACUUUCCUCAUAGGGGUUCUAUGUUUUGUGCAAAUUAAAUGAAGUGGUAGAGUAUUUGGUGCCCACCACCUAACAGGCAGUACACACGUUCCUGUUAGUACAUUUAUUCAAGGUUGUCCUGCUCACAUAGCGCUGACCUCUUAUCCCCACUUCUGAGGGCCUGUCAUUGCUUUGUCCCUUUGACGUGUAAGCUAUUGGUGCCUUUGCUGAAAAUCACUGGGUUUCUUGUUGCAUAUGUGGACAUGGGCACACAAACAGAAGAAAAAAAAAA